rnacentral:rRNA from 1 species
GGGUUGUGAGGUUAAGCGACUAAGCGUACACGGUGGAUGCCCUGGCAGUCAGAGGCGAUGAAGGACGUGCUAAUCUGCGAAAAGCGCCGGCGAGGUGAUAUGAACCUUUGACCCGGCGAUGUCCGAAUGGGGAAACCCAGUGUGUUCCGUCACACUAUCGUUAACUGAAUACAUAGGUUAACGAGGCGAACCGGGGGAACUGAAACAUCUAAGUACCCCGAGGAAAAGAAAUCAACCGAGAUUCCCCCAGUAGCGGCGAGCGAACGGGGAGGAGCCCAGAGUCUGAAUCAGCGUGUGUGUUAGUGGAACGGUCUGGAAAGUCCGGCGAUACAGGGUGACAGCCCCGUACACGAAAGCACACAGGCUGUGAACUCGAAGAGUAGGGCGGGACACGUGGUAUCCUGUCUGAAUAUGGGGGGACCAUCCUCCAAGGCUAAAUACUCCUGACUGACCGAUAGUGAACCAGUACCGUGAGGGAAAGGCGAAAAGAACCCCGGCGAGGGGAGUGAAAAAGAACCUGAAACCGUGUACGUACAAGCAGUGGGAGC